CACGUAGGGGGCAAGCGUUGUCCGGAUUUAUUGGGCGUAAAGAGCUCGUAGGCGGCUUGUCGCGUCGACCGUGAAAACUCACAGCUCAACUGUGAGCUUGCGGUCGAUACGGGCAGGCUCGAGUUCGGUAGGGGAGACUGGAAUUCCUGGUGUAGCGGUGAAAUGCGUAGAUAUCGAGAGGAACACCUGCGGCGAAGGCGGGUAGCUGGGCCGACACUGACGCUGAGGCGCGAAAGCUAGGGGAGCAAACGGG
rnacentral:rRNA from 1 species